rnacentral:rRNA from 1 species
AGAGUUUGAUCAUGGCUCAGGAUGAACGCUAGCUACAGGCUUAACACAUGCAAGUCGAACGGAAUUUACAUGAAGCCUAGCGAUUGUAAAUUUAGUGGCGGACGGGUGAGUAACGCGUGGGUAACCUGCCUUGUACUGGGGGACAACAGUUGGAAACGACUGCUAAUACCGCAUAAGCGCACAGCUUCGCAUGAAGCAGUGUGAAAAACUCCGGUGGUACAAGAUGGACCCGCGUCUGAUUAGCUGGUUGGUGAGGUAACGGCCCACCAAGGCGACGAUCAGUAGCCGGCCUGAGAGGGUGAACGGCCACAUUGGGACUGAGACACGGCCCAAACUCCAACGGGAGGCAGCA